CGAAUUAUAACAUAUGAUAUUACAUCAUCCUCCUCUCUCUACUUACCAGUCCAUGACGGUUCUACACAGUUUCAUUCUCUCUUUCUCUCUCUAGGUAUAUGGGUUUAUCUAUAAAGUUAGCAACAUUGCAUCACAAGGCUCUUGUAGGUUUUUCACCGUUUCCUUCAUACCCUUUUCAUGAACAGCUGAUCUGAGAUAUCUCAGACAGCUAGCUAGUUAGAUUUUAGAGAGAGAGAGAGAGAGAUGCCGCCGGGAUGGGGACCGCCACCAGGACCGGGAGGACCUCCUCCUUUUGGUUGUUUUGAUUUUCUCUGUGGUGGAAUAUGCAGACUCAUAUCUUCAUGUUUUUAUGUGCUGUGUUGUUGCUGCAUCUUUCAAGAGUGCUGCGGGCCAUUUUUUGGUGGACCGGGUGGACCAGGCGGUCCACCUGGACCACCUCCUUUUUGAAGGUUGAACCAUUGAUAUUUUCAUAUAAUGUGGCUUAGGCUCAAUAUUAUGUUUCCCUAAUUUCUCUACUGUUCGUUCUCUAUCAUGUCUGUUUCAUCAGUACUAUAUAAGAUUACUGCUAGCUAGCUAUGUAUAUGUAUGGAUUAUUAUGGAACUGAAAUAAUUUGUGUACCAUUUCUGAUUUCUUA